GACAGUGGCUGGUAUUGGUGUUCUGAAGGGGACAUUCAGAUACCAGUAUAUUUAAAUGUUACUGAGAAACCGAUUAAGAGUGAGUAUUGCAAGUUAUCAAAGAUUUUACAUGUAAAUGAAUUCAAUACUUUUAUAAAUAUUUGUACUUUAGGUUUGUAACUGUUACAGUACUCUUGUUAUAAUGUUCUACUAUGUUCUACUUCUAUAUCUACUACUCAUACUGUUGCCAUAAGUGAAACAAUUAUCAAAAUGGAACAAUUCUACAGUACAAGAAAAUAAAGAACACAGAGCUUCAUAUGACACAAAGAUCCUCAUCAUCCCUCUGAGUGUGUUGGUCUUGAUUUUAAUUAUGGUGUUGAUCUGGUUUAUACUGAGUCACAAGAAGCGCAAAGUAGAAUUAUCAGCGACAGCAAUGACUGGAGAGGAUGUAAGAUACUCUGAAAUUGGACUCAAAGAAAAUAGUUCACCCAGGGUGGACAAAGAAGUGAUAUACUCUGAAAUUAAACCUAAGAAAAAAAGUUCAACCAAGAGUUUAUUUGCUGAAUGUGACGUGGAACUCACGUAUAGUUCUGUUGUUAAGAAACAGCGCAUUAAAUGGGAUGAAGGAAAUUAUACAGAAGUUUCGGAGCAUUAGAGCAUAUUAGCUAACAAGCGUUGAAAUGUGCAAACAUUAAAAUCUUUUUGCAGUUUUUACUUUUUUAUCUGUACCUAUAUUACUGAAGUAUUGUCAGAUAAAUGCUGCAAUGUGUCAGGUUGUGAUGUAGUAGCUUUUUUCUUCUCCUUUUAACUGCUUUGUAACAAAUUUUAUUCUGCAUAGCUGCAGAUUUAUUCAAAGAAGCAUUGGCCAGUUUGCUUGUUCUUUUUCAAGAUCAUUGAUGUGAUUCUUAGUUUUGUAAUAAAAAGGGAUUGUAAUCAUCAGCA
ensembl:lncRNA